CCUACGGGCGGCAGCAGUGGGGAAUAUUGGACAAUGGGCGAAAGCCUGAUCCAGCCAUGCCGCGUGUGUGAAGAAGGCCUUCGGGUUGUAAAGCACUUUCAGUGGGGAAGAAAGCCUUGGGGCUAAUACCCUCGAGGAAGGACAUCACCCACAGAAGAAGCACCGGCUAACUCCGUGCCAGCAGCCGCGGUAAUACGGAGGGUGCGAGCGUUAAUCGGAAUUACUGGGCGUAAAGCGCGCGUAGGCGGUCUGAUAAGCCGGUUGUGAAAGCCCCGGGCUCAACCUGGGAACGGCAUCCGGAACUGUCAGGCUAGAGUGCAGGAGAGGAAGGUAGAAUUCCCGGUGUAGCGGUGAAAUGCGUAGAGAUCGGGAGGAAUACCAGUGGCGAAGGCGGCCUUCUGGACUGACACUGACGCUGAGGUGCGAAAGCGUGGGUAGCAAACAGGAUUAGAUACCCCUGGUAGUC
rnacentral:rRNA from 1 species